rnacentral:rRNA from 1 species
AGCCUGAUGCAGCAACGCCGCGUGAGCGAUGAAGGCCUUCGGGUCGUAAAGCUCUGUCCUCAAGGAAGAUAAUGACGGUACUUGAGGAGGAAGCCCCGGCUAACUACGUGCCAGCAGCCGCGGUAAUACGUAGGGGGCUAGCGUUAUCCGGAUUUACUGGGCGUAAAGGGUGCGUAGGCGGUCUUUCAAGUCAGGAGUGAAAGGCUACGGCUCAACCGUAGUAAGCUCUUGAAACUGGGAGACUUGAGUGCAGGAGAGGAGAGUGGAAUUCCUAGUGUAGCGGUGAAAUGCGUAGAUAUUAGGAGGAACACCAGUAGCGAAGGCGGCUCUCUGGACUGUAACUGACGCUGAGGCACGAAAGCGUGGGGAGCGAACAGGAUUAGAACCCCCUGGUAGA